CAUGUUCCCCAUGGAGGAUUCAGGGCCUAGGACAGUGCCUGGUGUACAUCAGACAUUCAGUGAGAAGAUGGAAGCUCAUGGACUGUCCUCUUUAUGUCCCUGAAGAGUGAGCAGAAGAUGGAGCCAGAGGGUGUCUGCACCCCAGAAGGGACAGAGGAAUGGCCACAUGAGCUCACAGCAAGAAGGCACGGUCCAGCCAAGGAGAGAGUUCUCUCCAGAAACCAAACUUGCUUACACCUUGACCAUGGAUUUCAAGCAUGCAGAAGUGUGGGAAAAUAAACAUCUGUUGCUUUAGCCACCCAGCCUGCAGUAUGUUGAGACACCUGAGUUGACAAAGACAGGACCUCAGCACCUGACUAUGUCCUUGCCCCAGGAAGGGACAGAAGAGAGCAGUGCGGCGGUAGGCGG